UGUAUACUUUCAAGCCUUCAUCAACCUCACCAGCUUCACAAUGUGACACAAUUACAUGAUUGUAUGAAACAACGUUCGGAAUAAUAUUAUACUGAUUGAAAAAGUACUGAAACAGUGCCUUAGCAUCAUUAUACCGUCCGGACCGAUACAUAGCACCGAUGAUAGCAUUACAUGUGAAUACAGUCGGCCGUGUGUUUGAGAAGACGGCGUGACGAGCAACAGCAGCUGCAGCGUCCAAAUCACCAGCACGUAUAAGAGAUUGA
rnacentral:misc_RNA from 1 species